UACGUAGGUGGCAAGCGUUGUCCGGAAUUAUUGGGCGUAAAGCGCGCGCAGGCGGUCCUUUAAGUCUGAUGUGAAAGCCCACGGCUCAACCGUGGAGGGUCAUUGGAAACUGGGGGACUUGAGUGCAGAAGAGGAAAGCGGAAUUCCACGUGUAGCGGUGAAAUGCGUAGAGAUGUGGAGGAACACCAGUGGCGAAGGCGGCUCACUGGUCCGGUACUGACGCUGAGGUGCGAAAGCGUGGGGAGCAAACAGG
rnacentral:rRNA from 1 species